rnacentral:rRNA from 1 species
GAUCCUGGCUCAGAUUGAACGCUGGCGGCAGGCCUAACACAUGCAAGUCGAACGGUAACAGGAAGAAGCUUGCUUCUUUGCUGACGAGUGGCGGACGGGUGAGUAAUGUCUGGGAAACUGCCUGAUGGAGGGGGGAUAACUACUGGAAACGGUAGCUAAUACCGCAUAACGUCGCAAGACCAAAGAGGGGGACUCGUCGCUCUC